GACAGAGGGUGCAAACGUUGUUCGGAAUUACUGGGCGUAAAGCGCGUGUAGGCGGUCCUCUAAGUCGGGUGUGAAAGCCCCGGGCUCAACCCGGGAAGUGCACUCGAAACUGGAGGGCUAGAGUAUCGGAGAGGUUGGUGGAAUUCUCGGUGUAGAGGUGAAAUUCGUAGAUAUCGAGAGGAACACCGGUGGCGAAGGCGGCCAACUGGACGAAUACUGACGCUGAGACUCGAAAGCGUGGGGAGCGAACAGG
rnacentral:rRNA from 1 species